rnacentral:rRNA from 1 species
GACAGAGGGUGCAAACGUUGCUCGGAAUUACUGGGCGUAAAGGGCGCGUAGGCGGCCUUCUAAGUCGAACGUGAAAUCCCCGGGCUCAACCCGGGAACUGCGUCCGAGACUGGAAGGCUCGAAUCCGGGAGAGGGAUGCAGAAUUCCAGGUGUAGCGGUGAAAUGCGUAGAUAUCUGGAGGAAUACCGGUGGCGAAGGCGGCAUCCUGGACCGGCAUUGACGCUGAGGAGCGAAAGCCAGGGGAGCAAACGGG